CUCAAUCUGAGCUCUAUAGCUAAAAAAUGUAAAAAUGACCGAAACCCUCGAAAUAGAGUACUUUAUAACCACUGAGCAACUUAAUGCAUCGCGAUCGCGAAGAAGAAAACUUAUACUCCUGUAAAAUGCCAUAAACGAUCGCAUAUGUCAGCUCGCGAUCAUGGUAUACACAGCUAACAAAGCUAUGCAUUCGCGGAAGAAACCUUGCGAACGCGAAGAUAUAACCAACACUGCCUCAGCUCAAACCCAAACACAAUGCGAACGCGUUCUCAACAUCGCAAAUGCGAUGCUUAACUGCCAUAACCUAUGCGAACACGGACCAUCACUUGCGAACACAUAGAAGAAGAAUUAGCCUGCUCCACUUUUCCUUUAUGCUAUCACACCACUAAGUCCGCGAUCGCGAUGAAGAAAUGCGACACCAGAUAUCAGCAGAACACAACAGUGAAAAAUGAAGGAAAAAUAGUUUGAAACCCGUCCGAAACUCACUGAGCCCCUCUGAACCAUGUCCGAACAUCCCAACAAGUCCCAUAAUAUAACACGGACCUUCACGAGGCCUCAAAACACACAUAACAAUAUCGAAUCGACGAAUCACACCUUAAUUCGAAAUCAAUGAACUUUAAAACUUCAAACUUCUACAACCGAUGCCGAAACCUAUCAAAUCUUCACAUUUGGCAUUACGGACCUGCUCCAACUUCCAAAAUCGGAAUCCAAACCCGAUAUAAAAAAGUCCACUCCCGGUCAACCUUUCGAAAAUUCCAACUGUCAUAUCCCUUUUUUUUGCAAAACCUCACUAACCCUCUUAAAUAAAUAAAAAGAUUUCGCAAAGCUCGAAAGAAAUUUUCAAUUUUGAAAGUGACAAAAGAUAGUGUUCAAAAGGAUUAACUCAGAGUCGCCACCUGACAUUUGAUUUCGGUGUGUCAGGUCACCGUUUUUCUAAAAAUAAUUUUUUUUUUCCUUUCAAAACACUUGAGACUCCAAAACUAAGUCUACACAAGAGAUUCGGGUAAGGAGGUUCAUUUGACUCGGGGAGAAGGUGUUAGGCACUCCCCAAGUCCCGUAACUAGUACGGUUGCAUACUUGAUCUAGUUAGCUUUUAAAAUAUUCAAGUUGAGGUAAAAUCACGAAAAAGCAAAAUAAACACACAUGAGGCUCGAGGUUGUCCCCACCUAAUAAAAGAUGAAUAAAAAUAAAAAUAAAAACACUACGAGUUCUACUAUCGAUCUCCAAGUACAAAUACUUCGGGGCAUACCCCGGAAUAAAAUAUAUACAAAUCUUUCGGGGCAUUCCUCGAACAAAUUUAACUAAGGAAACGACCUCUCACCUCAAAAGAAACUAAAAUCAAAUGCCCUAAAGGUUUUCCUACCCAAGCGUGGCCGGCCUAAGGAUACUACUAGCGGGUCAAUUAGCAAAUGCAAAAAACAAAUUCACAGAAAUUCAAUUGAUUCUAUUUAAUCCAACCCCACAUUCCAUUUCCAACAAAAUUCUUUCAUAUCUUCAUUCUCAAAUGUAUAGAGCAUAUUAUAACGUAAUUCAGUGAAGCCAACCAAGAUCAAAGUCAUAACACAUUAAUUCAACGAUUCGAGGAACAAAUCAAACAAAGUAAAGCUAACCAAGAUUAAAGUUAUAGCAGAUUCAAACUCACAGAUUAAUAAACGGGGAUAAAAGAGAUGAACCUGAAAAAUGAUCUUGCAAUUAAUAUAAUUUUGACAGUCCAUGGAUAGAAUACGCAGCUACAAAUGGAAUUCAAAUAGAAAAUCCAGCUCGAACAAAACCAAUGGACCACACCCCGGACGGCAACUCCAACAAUCGAACACCAAUUUCAACUCUGCUUUAUUUCGGAAGCCAGGACCAAAAUAACAACCUUUUAUUGAUGAACAAAGCUGAAAAUUACAUAUCAAUCGGGCUAAAUAAAGCAACAAUCUUUGGACCGAAAUACCGAAAUUGCAAACCGGAACCUCAAAUCGACACCCGAAAAAGAAAUCGAAACCCAAAUCGGAAGGCAAAAAGUGCCAAUCCUAAAUUGAUAAAAUUAUCAGUAAUGGCUUCCUUGGAGAUUGUGCUCUAAUUCAGUGGAGUCAACCCAUUUUCCUUGUUGGCUUUCAUUAAUUAAGUGGUCACGUGACUGACUUGGUCACAUAGAUGCCUAAAACAUUAAAUUGCAAGUCAAGGAUGUGUAGAAGGAGAUUGGUUCAUAUUGAUUCAUGUCAAUUUUUAUAUAUGGCAUCCUGAGAUUGUGUGAAUGACUUGGAUGGUUUUCAGACUCUAGGAAAAGAAGUUGAGCAACGUGAUAGCGGGGCAUGCCUUUUCCGAUGAAGGUUCAACUGAUCGAUUCUUCAACAUUCAGAGAAUCAAUCCUUCUUCUUGACCAUACUGCUUCAGCGUCCUUUUGAGUCGCACAAAAUUAAUUGCUCAAAAGAUUUUUCAGAACCAAAAUUCCUCCAGUUUUUUGAAUGCUGCCAUUUUUCUUUGUUUUUAGUCUAGGUCUUUGGGUGAGACGUGAUGGCUGGUCGUGAGUUUUUUGGUCUAGAGUUUAAGAUGAUGAUGGAGAAUGGUUGUUAUGUGUGUAGGAGAUGAGGGGACGGCUGGUGGUGUGUUGCGGCUUCUCUCCCUAAAGUUCUAGGGUUUUUC
rnacentral:lncRNA from 1 species